AGGGUUAUAGUUAAGUAUAACAUUUGGGUUGCAUUCAAAAAGUAUUGAUAAUAAUCAAUUAACCUUA
rnacentral:tRNA from 1 species